UACGUAGGGUGCGAGCGUUAAUCGGAAUUACUGGGCGUAAAGCGUGCGCAGGCGGUCUGUUAAGACCGAUGUGAAAUCCCCGGGCUUAACCUGGGAACUGCAUUGGUGACUGGCAGGCUUUGAGUGUGGCAGAGGGAGGUAGAAUUCCACGUGUAGCAGUGAAAUGCGUAGAGAAUGUGGAGGAACACGAUGGCGAAGGCAGCCC
rnacentral:rRNA from 1 species